rnacentral:rRNA from 1 species
GGAGGGUGCAAGCGUUGUUCGGAAUCACUGGGCGUAAAGCGCGUGCAGGGCGGCUGGUUAAGUCUGGGUGUGAAAGCCCGGGGGCUCACCCCCGGAAGUGCGCUGGAAACUGGCCAGCUAGAGUAUGGGAGAGGGAAGUGGAAUUCCUGGUGUAGCGGUGAAAUGCGUAGAUAUCAGGAGGAACACCGGCGGCGAAGGCGGCUUCCUGGACCAAUACUGACGCUGAGACGCGAAAGCGUGGGGAGCAAACAGGAUUAGAUACCCUGGUAGUCCACGCUGUAAACGAUGGGUACUAGGUGGCGCGGGUGUUGACCCCUGCGCUGCCGUAGCUAACGCAUUAAGUACCCCGCCUGGGGACUACGGUCGCAAGAUUA